ACUUGGAUUCAUUGGACAGCUUGACUGCAGACUUUCAGUGUACCAAUUUACCAAUUUCUCUUAUAUAAGCAUCGCUUUUCUCUAUUUCAAGAAACUUCAAUAUGCCGAAAUAUACUUUGCAUUACUUUGAUGGUCGUGGUAGAGGAGAAGGUAUCAGACUACUGUUCAAAAUAGCUGGAAAGGAAUUUGAGGACAAGAGGUAUACCUUCAGUGAUUGGCCUGAAUAUAAGCCAAAAACUCCCUUUGGUCAACUACCUGUAUUGACUGUUGAUGACGUUGUAAUCGCUCAAACUCAUGCAAUUGGACGUUAUCUUGCCAGGGAGUUCAAUCUAUAUGGUUCAAAUAGCCUUGAAGCCGCCAUAGUUGAUCAAGUUGUUGAAAAUAAUAGUGAUUUGAUCACUCCAUCUAUACCUUGGCUAUUUGGGGAGAAAGAUGAAGCAACAAAAGCGGAACUAAAGGCCAGCUAUUUUGAAACUAUUGGCGUACAAUUAAACCAUCUUGGAAAGUUUUUGGGAGAUAAAGAUUAUUUCCUUGGCGACAAAAUAUCAUACGCCGAUGUAGUAUUCUUCACUGGUCUGGAAUUUAUUAUACUAAAAGGAGAAGGUACCCCCGAAAUGUUGAAAGCGUUGGAAGAAGUUCCAAAUCUGAAAAAAUUGUACGACCGAGUUGCAAGUUAUCCGGCUGUUGCCGAAUGGAUUAAAGUACGCCCUCAAAAUUCGUUCUAAAUAAAUAUUUUGAAUAUCUAAAAUAUGAGAUGUCUGAUCAAAUUAAACGAAUACAAGAAACAACUUUAUACAUGAAAUAUUAUUUUGAAUUUUCAAAUGAUUUAUAUUCUGUAAAAGCGUUAAGUAUCAUUAAAACUUCCGAUACUUUUCAAGGAAAGACAUACUUUAAUACUUUGUCCUCAUCUAAUACUUUUAAGUACUUUGUCAAUGAAUAUAAAAAAGACAGCAAUAAUUUUACAUUUCUACGAAUAGAUUAGAGUAUCUCGUAAAGUAAACUAUUCGCCAUUUUAACGGUAUUACUUUUGUAAAAUUCAAAAUAAUUAUCAAUAAAACAGACAAUCUCUAAAGGAUAAUAAUAACAAUAGAGAACUAUAAUAAAGAGACA
rnacentral:misc_RNA from 1 species